CCUACGGGUGGCAGCAGUGGGGAAUAUUGGACAAUGGGCGAAAGCCUGAUCCAGCCAUGCCGCGUGUGUGAAGAAGGCCUUCGGGUUGUAAAGCACUUUCAGUGGGGAAGAAAGCCUUGGGGCUAAUACCCUCGAGGAAGGACAUCACCCACAGAAGAAGCACCGGCUAACUCCGUGCCAGCAGCCGCGGUAAUACGGAGGGUGCGAGCGUUAAUCGGAAUUACUGGGCGUAAAGCGCGCGUAGGCGGUCUGAUAAGCCGGUUGUGAAAGCCCCGGGCUCAACCUGGGAACGGCAUCCGGAACUGUCAGGCUAGAGUGCAGGAGAGGAAGGUAGAAUUGCCGGUGUAGCGGUGAAAUGCGUAGAGAUCGGGAGGAAUACCAGUGGCGAAGGCGGCCUUCUGGACUGACACUGACGCUGAGGUGCGAAAGCGUGGGUAGCAAACAGGAUUAGAUACCCUGGUAGUC
rnacentral:rRNA from 1 species